AUACGUAGGGGGCGAGCGUUGUCCGGAAUGAUUGGGCGUAAAGGGCGCGUAGGCGGCCCGGUAAGUCUGGAGUGAAAGUCCUGUUUUUAAGAUGGGAAUUGCUUUGGAUACUGUCGGGCUUGAGUGCAGGAGAGGUAAGUGGAAUUCCCAGUGUAGCGGUGAAAUGCGUAGAGAUUGGGAGGAACACCAGUGGCGAAGGCGACUUACUGGACUGUAACUGACGCUGAGGCGCGAAAGUGUGGGGAGCAAACAGGAUUAGAUACCCUGGUAGUCCACACUGUAAACGAUGAAUGCUAGGUGUUGCGGGUAUCGACCCCUGCAGUGCCGGAGUAAACACAAUAAGCAUUCCGCCUGGGGAGUACGGCCGCAAGGUUGAAACUCAAAUGAAUUGACGGGG
rnacentral:rRNA from 1 species